UCAAACUUGGUCAUUUAGAGGAAGUAAAAGUCGUAACAAGGUUUCCGUAGGUGAACCUGCGGAAGGAUCAUUACCGUUGGAGCUUGCUCCAUCUGGGAUAGAACCCUUGAUUUUGAGUACCUUCUCGUUUCCUCGGCGGGUUCGCCCGCCGGUGGACAACCAAAACUCUUUGUAAUAGCAGUAUCUUCUGAAAAAUAAAACAAAUAGUCAAAACUUUCAACAACGGAUCUCUUGGUUCUGGCAUCGAUGAAGAACGCAGC
rnacentral:misc_RNA from 1 species